rnacentral:rRNA from 1 species
AAAACUUUCAACAACGGAUCUCUUGGCUCUGGCAUCGAUGAAGAACGCAGCGAAAUGCGAUAAGUAAUGUGAAUUGCAGAAUUCAGUGAAUCAUCGAAUCUUUGAACGCACAUUGCGCCCGCCAGUAUUCUGGCGGGCAUGCCUGUUCGAGCGUCAUUACAACCCUCAGGCCCCCGGGCCUGGCGUUGGGGAUCGGCGGAAGCCCCCUGCGGGCACAACGCCGUCCCCCAAAUACAGUGGCGGUCCCGCCGCAGCUUCCAUUGCGUAGUAGCUAACACCUCGCAACUGGAGAGCGGCGCGGCCACGCCGUAAAACACCCAACUUCUGAAUGUUGACCUCGAAUCAGGUAGGAAUACCCGCUGAACUUAAGCAUAUCAAUAAGCGGAGGAAAAGAAACCAACAGGGAUUGCCCCAGUAACGGCGAGUGAAGCGGCAACAGCUCAAAUUUGAAAUCUGGCUCUCGGGCCCGAGUUGUAAUUUGUAGAGGAUGCUUUUGGUGAGGUGCCUUCCGAGUUCCCUGGAACGGGACGCCAUAGAGGGUGAGAGCCCCGUCUGGUUGGACACCGAUCCUCUGUAAAGCUCCUUCGACGAGUCGAGUAGUUUGGGAAUGCUGCUCUAAAUGGGAGGUAUAUGUCUUCUAAAGCUAAAUACCGGCCAGAGACCGAUAGCGCACAAGUAGAGUGAUCGAAAGAUGAAAAGAACUUUGAAAGGAGAGUUAAAAAGUACGUGAAAUUGUUGAAAGGGAAGCGCUUGUGACCAGACUUGGGCUUGGUUGAUCAUCCGGGGUUCUCCCCGGUGCACUCUUCCGGCUCAGGCCAGCAUCAGUUCGCCCUGGGGGAUAAAGGCUUCGGGAAUGUGGCUCUCUCCGGGGAGUGUUAUAGCCCGCUGCGUAAUGCCCUGUGGCGGACUGAGGUUCGCGCAUUCGCAAGGAUGCUGGCGUAAUGGUCAUCAGUGACCCGUCUUGAAACACGGACC